UACGUAGGGCGCAAGCGUUGUCCGGAAUUAUUGGGCGUAAAGAGCUCGUAGGCGGUCUGUUGCGUCCGCUGUGAAAACUCGGGGCUUAACCCCGAGCCUGCAGUGGAUACGGGCAGACUAGAGGUAGGUAGGGGAGAAUGGAAUUCCCGGUGUAGCGGUGAAAUGCGCAGAUAUCGGGAGGAACACCAACGGCGAAAGCACUCUGCUGGGCCGACACUGACACUGAGAGACGAAAGCUAGGGGAGCAAAUGGG
rnacentral:rRNA from 1 species